CAACUACUCCCUCUGUCUUAAAAUUCUUGUCUUAGAUUUCUCUAGAUAUGAAUGUAUCUAGUCAUGUUUUAGUAUUUUGAUACAUCCAUUUCUAGACAAACCUAAGACAAGAAUUUUGGGACGGAGGGGUACGAG
rnacentral:pre_miRNA from 1 species